rnacentral:tRNA from 1 species
GGACGGGUGGCAGAGCGGUUGAAUGCACCGGUCUUGAAAACCGGCAGUCGCGAAAGCGGCUCGUGGGUUCGAAUCCCACCCCGUCCGCCU